rnacentral:lncRNA from 1 species
CUCUCCUGAGUGGUGGGUAUGAGCAGAGCCUCUUUUGUUAUUUAUAAUAAAGCUUUCUCAGCCAUAUCAGAUUUUAUGCUAAGGAGGUGACUCUUGGAGGGUGGGAGCUGGUUCUCAGAGGAACCAACCAUGUGAUUAGAAGGUUGAAACUUUCAGCCCCAUCCUCUGACAUCUAGGGAAGGAAGAGAGACUGGAGACUGAGUUCAAUCACCAAUGGCCAAUGCUUUAAUCAAUCGUGCCUAAGUAAUGAAGCCUGCAUGAACACACUGAACACCAGGGUCUGGAGAGCUUCCAGGUUGGUGAACAAGAACACAUCCAUGUUCCAGAAGAGUGGUGCACCUUAACUCCUCAAGGACAGAAGCUCCUGGGCUCAGGACCCUCUGUGGCCUCACUCAACGUAUCUCUUAGUCUGGCCAUUAUUCAUUUGUAUCCUUUAAAAUCUCCUUUGUAAUAAAUUGAUAAUAAUAGGUAAUGAUAAACUUUUACUGAGUUCUUUAAGCCAUUCUAGCACAUUACUGAACUCAAGGAGAGGCUGUUGGGAAGCCCUGAUUUAUAGCUAGUCUGUCAGAAGUGCAGGAGGCCUGGACCCGUGAUUGGCAUCUAAAGUGGGGGCAGCCGUGUAGGACUGAGUCUGUAACUUGCAGGAUCUGACAUUAACUAACUCCAGGUAGGUAACGUGAAAAUGGAAUUGAAUUAUAGGAAACCUAGUGGGUAUUUGGAGAACUGGGAAAUAAUUUGGGGUGGAAUAGACCCACAAUUUGGUGUCAGAAGUGUCGUGAGUAUAGAAAAACAGUACUGUGCUUUUAGUCUGAUUGUCUGGGAAAAAGAGUGUGCUGGCCGAUUGUGACCCUGUAAAGAUAGGGUGUUGAUAUGGUUUGUCUGUGUCCCCACCCAAAAUAUCAUCUUGAAUUAUAAUCCCCAUAAUCCCCACAUGUCAAAGGAGAGACCAGGUGGAGGUAAUUGAAUCAGGAGGGCAGUUUCUCCUAUGCUGUUCUCAUGAUAGUGAGUAAGUUCUCAGGAGAUCCGAUGGCUUUAUAAGUGUUUGAUAGUUCCUCCUUCGUUCAUUCUCCAUCCUGUAGGGUGAAGAAGGUGCCUUGCUUCCCCUUCACCUUCCACCAUGAUUGUAAGUUUCCUGAGGCCUCCCUAGCCAUGCUGAACUGCAUACAUUAAGUGUGGGAGAGAGCUAUCCUGCUCAAAAGAGAGUGCUCCCCAUUCUGACACAUCUGGAAAUCAUCUGGCAAAUGUCUUCUGACCGUCUCUGAGUGAAAAAGCCUUCGAGUGCAUCAGCCCAUUUCAGCUCCACAACUUUCUCUUGUGAUCAUCCCUGUUUUACAGGAUAUGGAGGGGUAAGGUGACUUCAGUGUCACCUAGCUCCUGGAGUCGCUAUGUCGAGGUUCUGGCUCUUUUGAUUUAAGUCCAGGAGUCUAUAAAUGACCAGAUCUUCCACUUUUGCUGAGCAGAACCUGAGGCUGAAGCUAAAAUUCACACAGCUUCAUCCUUCAUUGGCUGUCUCUCCUCACCUUUGCAGGGCUUCCUGGGGCUGUCCUGAUAAGAGAACCUUUGCUAUGAUCCCCUCAAAUCCCUCCCUUUGGCAAAAUGAUUAGGGCCUAUCUGAUGGAAUGUGAGGUACACUCAGAAGUCCCCUCCAAUCUCCCGCAGGGUCCCCGAUUUUGAUCUUAGCCUUCCUGGCUUCAUGCUCACCACUACCUGCUGCAGCCCUGGCCAGAAUCCUUCCAUUCUGUAGAAUGCAAACACCUUCAGAAGGGGAUGGCUACUUUCAUCCCUAAGGUCUUACUGUGAUCUGGUUUAGAACUCUUUUCUUUGCGGAAGGGGGAAAACUAGGAGUAGGAAGCAAAAGGAGAAGGGUCAGGAAGUGCUAAGGGGAAGGGAUGGGGUGCUGCCUUUCCAUGUGGCUGACGGCCGAACUUGGUUCUGGGUGCAUGGGUUCUGAAAGCACCCUCGAUGACACAAAGUGUGUUUAAAUACAGGGUGUCCUGAUGUGGGAUGCAAAACAACACCCACCCUCUCCCCCGGCCUACCCUCAUAAGCCGAAUAUUAAUUUUACACUCCACAAACACUUUGAUGGCAUCAAUGCGGUAUAACAGUACAUUCUGUUUUCUGCCAUGCAGUGUGGGUGAUCACUCAGUGCUCUUCGGUAGUGAUGAAAGAAUCAGACUCCACUGCAGAAAACACCUCAUUCUAUUCUCAGAAGGUCAGUCAUGAGAAAUGGAGCUUUCUUUAAAACAGGCUUACAGAAAACAAAAACACGAACUUUUUAGCUUAUUAACGAAAAAGCUCUCCAUCUGCUUUUUUUUUUGUUGUUGUUAAUAAACAGAUAUAGUUAAUAGUUUACGGAUUUUAGCUGUGGUUUUUCCUUUUUCGUUUGUUUGUGAAAUGUUUUUGCUUUUCAGUUUUAAGAAGAAAUUUCACACCUCCCUCUGAAUUUCUCAUGACUUUGACUGCUGAGCUAAACUUGCCAUUCUUGUACCCCGUGCUGUGCUGAUAAGAGAAUCUUUGCUCUGUAACCCUCAAACACAAAUAUCUCCCAAAUGUGGAGACAUUUC